GAUGUAAUGAAAGGAAAGGCCCUUUCCGGGUUGUAAAGUACUCUUCAAGCGAGGAAGGAAAGGGCGGUGAAGGUUAAUAACCUCAUCGAAUGACGUUAACCCGCAGAAGAAAGCACCCGGCUAACUCCCGUGCCAGCAGCCGCGGGUAAAUACGGAGGGUGCAAAGCGUUAAUCGGAAAUUACUGGGCGUAAAAGCGCACGCAGGGCGGUCUGUCAAGUCGGGAUGUGAAAAUCCCCGGGCCUCAACCCUGGGAACUGCAUUCGAAACUGGCAGGCUAGAGUCUUGUAGAGGGGGGUAGAAUUCCAGGUGUAGCGGUGAAAUGCGUAGAGAUCUGGAGGAAAUACCGGUGGCGAAAGGCGGCCCCCCUGGACAAAGACUGACGCUCAGGUGCGAAAGCGUGGGGAGCAAAACAGGAUUAGAUACCCUGGUAGUCCACGCCGUAAACGAUGUCGACUUGGAGGUUGUGCCCUUGAGGCGUGGCUUCCGGAGCUAACGCGUUAAGUCGACCGCCUGGGGAGUACGGCCGCAAGGUUAAAACUCAAAUGAAUUGACGGGGGCCCGCACAAGCGGUGGAGCAUGUGGUUUAAUUCGAUGCAACGCGAAGAACCUUACUUACUCUUGACAUCCAGAGAACUUAGCAGAGAUGGUUUGGUGCCUUCGGGAACUCUGAGACAGGUGCUGCAUGGCUGUCGUCAGCUCGUGUUGUGAAAUGUUGGGUUAAGUCCCGCAACGAGCGCAACCCUUAUCCUUUGUUGCCAGCGGUUAGGCCGGGAACUCAAAGGAGACUGCCAGUGAUAAACUGGAGGAAGGUGGGGAUGACGUCAAGUCAUCAUGGCCCUUACGAGUAGGGCUACACACGUGCUACAAUGGCGCAUACAAAGAGAAGCGACCUCGCGAGAGCAAGCGGACCUCAUAAAGUGCGUCGUAGUCCGGAUUGGAGUCUGCAACUCGACUCCAUGAAGUCGGAAUCGCUAGUAAUCGUGGAUCAGAAUGCCACGGUGAAUACGUUCCCGGGCCUUGUACACACCGCCCGUCACACCAUGGGAGUGGGUUGCAAAAGAAGUAGGUAGCUUAACCUUCGGG
rnacentral:rRNA from 1 species